GGGGACUUGGCUCAGUGGUAGAGCGCUUGCCUAGCAAGCGCAAGGUCCUGGGUUCGGUCCCCAGCUCCG
rnacentral:tRNA from 1 species